rnacentral:rRNA from 1 species
GAAUAUUGGACAAGGGGGGGAACCCUGAUCAAGCCAUGCCGCGGUUGUGAGGAAGGCCUUUUGGUUGUAAACCACUUUAAGCGAGGAGGGGGAGCCUUUGGUUAAUCCCCAAGAUGCUUGGACGUUCCUCCCAGAAUAACCCCCGCCUAACCCGGUUCAGCCACCCGCGGUAAUACAGAGGGUGCAAGCGUUAAUCGGAUUUACUGGGCGUAAAGCGCGCGUAGGUGGCCAAUUAAGUCAAAUGUGAAAUCCCCGAGCUUAACUUGGGAAUUGCAUUCGAUACUGGUUGGCUAGAGUAUGGGAGAGGAUGGUAGAAUUCCAGGUGUAGCGGUGAAAUGCGUAGAGAUCUGGAGGAAUACCGAUGGCGAAGGCAGCCAUCUGGCCUAAUACUGACACUGAGGUGCGAAAGCAUGGGGAGCAAAC